CCACCAGCCGCGGCACAACGGAGAGAACGGAGGGCAAGUCGGCAAUUGUGCGAGCAACUAGAGGGCGGUUGUCCAGCAGGGGAAGCUGCAGCGAUCCAAGCAGAGGAUGGUACUUUUGGAGACGAAGGUAAGAGUUGGUGAGAGGUAGGUAACGGUUGCGAAAUCGAAUUUGGAGAACGGAGAAGCAGCCUUCGUAGCAUGAUGUCCAAAAUUUCAAAUCAACUUAAUUUUAGGUGAAGUCCAGCUCAGCUGCUAUAGAUGCAUGCAU
rnacentral:misc_RNA from 1 species